rnacentral:rRNA from 1 species
AGCGAACGCUGGCGGCAGGCUUAACACAUGCAAGUCGAGCGCCCUGUAGCAAUACAGGAGCGGCAGACGGGAGAGUAACACGUGGGAACGUACCCUUUGGUCGGAACAACCCAGGGAACUUGGACUAAUACCGGNUAAGCCCUAACGGGGAAAGAUUUAUCGCCAAAGGAUCGGCCCGCGUCUGAUUAGCUAGUUGGUGAGGUAACGGCUCACCAAGGCGACGAUCAGUAGCUGGUCUGAGAGGAUGAUCAGCCUCACUGGGACUGAGACACGGCCCAGACUCCUACGGGAGGCAGCAGUGGGAAUAUUGGACAAUGGGCGCAAGCCUGAUCCAGCCAUGCCGCGUGGUGAUGAAGG